rnacentral:rRNA from 1 species
CCUACGGGUGGCUGCAGUGGGGAAUAGUGGGCAAUGGAGGAAACUCUGACCCAGCAACGCCGCGUGAAUGAUGAAGGUCUGCGGAGGGGAAAGUUCUUUGCGAAGGGAAGAAGAAAGUGACGGUACCGUAGGAAUAAGCCUCGGCUAACUACGUGCCAGCAGCCGCGGUAAUACGUAGGAGGCGAGCGUUAUCCGGAAUGACUGGGCGUAAAGGGUGCGGAGGUGGUUGGGCAAGUUAGUAGCGUACCUCCACGGCUCAACCUUGGAACUCCUACUAAAACGGUUGGACUUGAGUGCAGGAGGGGCAACUUGACUUCCUCUUGUAGCGGUU